rnacentral:rRNA from 1 species
AUACAGAGGGUGCGAGCGUUAAUGGGAAUUACUGGGCGUAAAGCGCGCGUAGGCGGCUUAUUAAGUCAGAUGUGAAAUCCCCGGGCUCAACCUGGGAACUGCAUCUGAUACUGGUAAGCUAGAGUUUUGGAGAGGGAAGUAGAAUUUCAGGUGUAGCGGUGAAAUGCAUAGAGAUCUGAAGGAAUACCAGUGGCGAAGGCGACUUCCUGGCCAAAAACUGACGCUGAGGUGCGAAAGCGUGGGUAGCAAACGGGAUUAGAAACCCUAGUAGUCC